rnacentral:rRNA from 1 species
GGGGAAUAUUGCGCAAUGGGGGGAACCCUGACGCAGCGACGCCGCGUGCGGGACGAAGGCCUUCGGGUCGUAAACCGCUUUCAGCAGGGAAGAGGCCUUAACGGUGACGGUACCUGCAGAAGAAGCUCCGGCUAAAUACGUGCCAGCAGCCGCGGUAAUACGUAUGGAGCGAGCGUUAUCCGGAUUCAUUGGGCGUAAAGCGCGUGUAGGCGGCCCGUUAGGUCGGAAGUCAAAUCCCGGGGCUCAACCCCGGCCCGCUUCCGAUACCGGCGGGCUCGAGUCCGGUAGGGGAAAGUGGAAUUCCCAGUGUAGCGGUGGAAUGCGCAGAUAUUGGGAAGAACACCGGUGGCGAAGGCGGCUUUCUGGGCCGCGACUGACGCUGAGACGCGAAAGCUAGGGGAGCGAAC